rnacentral:tRNA from 1 species
UCCUGGGUAGUUCAACCGGUAGAACAUCUGGCUGUUAAUCAGAAAGUACAGGUUCGAGUCCUGUCCCAGGAGCCA